rnacentral:rRNA from 1 species
AUUGAACGCUGGCGGCAUGCCUAACACAUGCAAGUCGAACGGCAGCACGGCAGUAGCAAUACUGUGGGUGGCGAGUGGCGGACGGGUGAGGAAUACGUCGGAAUCUGCCCAGUCGUGGGGGAUAACUAGCCGAAAGGUUAGCUAAUACCGCAUACGACCGAGAGGUGAAAGCGGGGGACCGCAAGGCCUCGCGCGAUUGGAUGAGCCGACGUCGGAUUAGCUAGUUGGAGGGGUAAAGGCCCACCAAGGCGACGAUCCGUAGCUGGUCUGAGAGGAUGAUCAGCCACACUGGAACUGAGACACGGUCCAGACUCCUACGGGAGGCAGCAGUGGGGAAUAUUGGACAAUGGGCGCAAGCCUGAUCCAGCAAUGCCGCGUGUGUGAAGAAGGCCUUCGGGUUGUAAAGCACUUUUAUCAGGAACGAAAAGCGUUGGAUUAAUACUCUGACGUGCUGACGGUACCUGAGGAAUAAGCACCGGCUAACUUCGUG